AACGAACGCUGGCGGCAUGCCUAACACAUGCAAGUCGAACGAGACCUUCGGGUCUAGUGGCGCACGGGUGCGUAACGCGUGGGAACCUGCCCUUAGGUUCGGAAUAACUCCCCGAAAGGGGUGCUAAUACCGGAUAAUGUCUUCGGACCAAAGAUUUAUCGCCUUUGGAUGGGCCCGCGUUGGAUUAGCUAGUUGGUAGGGUAAAAGCCUACCAAGGCGACGAUCCAUAGCUGGUCUGAGAGGAGGAUCAGCCACAAUGGGACUGAGACACGGCCCAGACUCCUACGGGAGGCAGCAGUGGGGAAUAUUGGACAAUGGGCGAAAGCCUGAUCCAGCAAUGCCGCGUGAGUGAUGAAGGCCUUAGGGUUGUAAAGCUCUUUUACCCGGGAUGAUAAUGACAGUACCGGGAGAAUAAGCUCCGGCUAACUACGUG
rnacentral:rRNA from 1 species